rnacentral:sRNA from 12 species
CGGACUGGUCGAAAGACCCGGGUCCAACGAAAAGGUGUGGGUGUCCCAC